rnacentral:rRNA from 1 species
CGCGGCCUAUCAGCUUGUUGGUGGGGUAAUGGCCUACCAAGGCGACGACGGGUAGCCGGCCUGAGAGGGCGACCGGCCACACUGGGACUGAGACACGGCCCAGACUCCUACGGGAGGCAGCAGUGGGGAAUAUUGCACAAUGGGCGAAAGCCUGAUGCAACGACCCCGCGUGAGGGAUGACGGCCUUCGGGUUGUAAACCUCUUUCAGCAGGGACGAAGCGUAAGUGACGGUACCUGCAGAAUAAGCGCCGGCCGACUACGUGCCAGCAGCCGCGGUAAGACGUAGGGCGCGAGCGUUGUCCGGAUUUAUUGGGCGUAAAGAGCUCGUAGGCGGCUUGUCGCGUCGACUGUGAAAACCCGCAGCUCAACUGCGGGCCUGCAGUCGAUACGGGCAGGCUAGAGUUCGGUAGGGGAGACUGGAAUUCCUGGUGUAGCGGUGGAAUGCGCAGAUAUCAGGAGGAACACCGGUGGCGAAGGCGGGUCUCUGGGCCGAUACUGACGCUGAGGAGCGAAAGCGUGGGGAGCGAACAGGAUUAGAUACCCUGGUAGUCCACGCUGUAAACGUUGGGCGCUAGGUGUGGGGGACCUCUCCGGUUCUCUGUGCCGCAGCUAACGCAUUAAGCGCCCCGCCUGGGGAGUACGG